CAUAGAGAGGAGGCUUUGCAUGGUCAGCUGAUCCUCCAGUGAACUGAGAAGGUUUAUAGUCCUGGGAGUUCAACACUGCAGGACUCAGAUCUGUCAGUCAACACAGCAGAAAGCACAACCACCAUGACUCUCAUCACCAUCCUCAUCUGGACGCUGGCCUGCUGCUGUUUUACAGGAUCUAGUAGUCAAGUGACAGUGACUCAACCUGCAGUUGCAACAUCUUCUCUUGGAUCUGCAGUCACUCUCACCUGUAAAACCAACCCAAAAGUUAAAGUUUGGUCAGAUGGAGAUAGUAGAGUAUACUGGUACCAGCAGAAAUCUGGAGAAGCUCCAAAGUUGGUCAUCAGCUUGGGUCAAAAUCCCACAAGUGAGUUUUCCUCAAGAUUCUCUGGCCGAGGAGACGGAGUCAACGCUGCAAUGACCAUCAGUGGAGUUAAGGCUGAAGAUGCAGCAGUUUAUUACUGUCAGAGUUACCAUGAGAUAAAUAGUGCUGAUGUGUUCACACAGUGAUUUGUCGUCGUACAAAAACCUCCCUCAGUCAGACUGCAGAGACUCUGAGCUGUUACAGCAGGAACCGACUGCAGCUGCUGAAGAGGAAGAGACUCUGACACAGACCACUGAACACACAGCUCAAAAUACAUAUUCACACUAAUAUACUGAUUCUA